rnacentral:lncRNA from 1 species
GACGUAGGGCGGGGCCGCUGAACCUUGCCCCGCCCCCGACCCGACACCUCGGGCCGUACAGCCAAUCAAAGAGGCUAGCUCUGCCUCCUCUCCCGAGGCAGCCAGUGUGGUGCGGCUGAGGAUCCACCCGCCCCUCCCAGCUGAGCGCACACAACACACCGUCCACACGCUUACAUUCUGGGUGAUCAUUGUACACCAGUGAUCUCAUACGACUGGAUAGACAGUAGGUGAGUUUUUGCCAGGAUACUGAAUCCGAAAGAGGCUCUGAAUACCACCGAGCAAGCCCAUGGAAAAGGCAUCAAGAACGGACCAGGGCCCCAGGACCAGGAUCUGGAGGAACCUGCUGCUUGGAUCUGCUUGUUCCAUACCCUGCCCUCUUCACCAAGAGGCCAGAGCAGGUACUGACUCUUGCAUCUCCACUCUGUGGCUACAGCUUCUUCAUGUCCUAUACCAGGCUGGCCCUGGGGGUCUGGGAUGACUCUGAAGAACUGUGACCCCCAAGACUUAGGCCUCAAAAGAGGGCACCUCAAUGGACCUGUAAGACACAAGGAAAUAAAAGCAUCACCUUGGAAACUAUUUGCCAUAUGUUAUGUAUUAGGUUGAGUUCUCUGGUGUGGCUGUGAGCUAGGCAAACACAUUUAUCUCCAGCGUAUGGG